CCACAAAGACUGUGGACAAGGUAUGGAGAAUGGGAUGAUGAAGAGCUUGAAGAUGAAGCAUUCUUCUGUGCUGAUUGCCAUAGUUUCAUUCAUAUAAUCCAAGAUAUCCAGCAUUUAA